rnacentral:lncRNA from 1 species
GGUGACAGGUAAAGGUGAGAGGCAGGUGAACAGAGACAGGUGACAGGUAAAGGUGAGAGGCAGGUGAACAGACAGGUGACAGGUAAAGGUGAGAGGCAGGUGAACAGACAGGUGACAGGUAAAGAUGAGAGGCAGGUGAACAGACAGGUGACAGGUAAAGGUGAGAGGCAGGUGAACAGACAGGUGACAGGGUAAGGUGAGAGGCAGGUGAACAGACAGGUGACAGGUAAAGGUGAGAGGCAGGUGAACAGACAGGUGACAGGGUAAGGUGAGAGGCAGGUGAACAGACAGGUGACAGGUAAAGGUGAGAGGCAGGUGAACAGACAGGUGACAGGUAAAGGUGAGAGGCAGGUGAACAGACAGGUGACAGGUAAAGGUGAGAGGCAGGUGAACAGACAGGUGACAGGUAAAGGUGAGAGGCAGGUGAACAGACAGGUGACAGGUAAAGGUGAGAGGCAGGUGAACAGACAGGUGACAGGUAAAGGUGAGAGGCAGGUGAACAGACAGGUGACAGGUAAAGGUGAGAGGCAGGUGAACAGAGACAGGUGACAGGUAAAUGUGAGAGGCAGGUGAACAGACAGGUGACAGGGUAAGGUGAGUGUGUCAGUACAGAGGGUACCUCAUCCUGGGUGCCUCUCUUCCAGGCCUCGGAGAAGAUGGAGCUGACCUGGCUCUGAGAGCGGCUGUGGCCUGACAGGUUGUUCUCUGAUACAGCAACACCACUAUCACUACUGCAGUGGGUCGACUGGGACUC